CCCCAGACUCCUACGGGAGGCAGCAGUGAGGAAUAUUGGUCAAUGGGCGCGAGCCUGAACCAGCCAAGUCGCGUGAGGGAGGACGGCCCUACGGGUUGUAAACCUCUUUUGCCGGGGAGCAACGGGCGUCACGUGUGGCGCCACUGAGAGUACCCGGAGAAAAAGCAUCGGCUAACUCCGUGCCAGCAGCCGCGGUAAUACGGAGGAUGCGAGCGUUAUCCGGAUUUAUUGGGUUUAAAGGGUGCGUAGGCGGUUCUUUAAGUCAGUGGUCAAAUGGGGGGGCUCACCCCCUCCCCGCCAUUGAAACUGGCGCUCUUGAGUGGGCGAGAAGUAUGCGGAAUGCGUGGUGUAGCGGUGAAAUGCAUAGAUAUCACGCAGAACUCCGAUUGCGAAGGCAGCAUACCGGCGCCCAACUGACGCUGAAGCACGAAAGCGUGGGUAUCGAACAGGAUUAGAUACCCCAGUA
rnacentral:rRNA from 1 species